AGUGAACGCUGGCGGUAGGCCUAACACAUGCAAGUCGAACGGCAGCACAGUAAGAGCUUGCUCUUACGGGUGGCGAGUGGCGGACGGGUGAGGAAUACAUCGGAAUCUACUUUUUCGUGGGGGAUAACGUAGGGAAACUUACGCUAAUACCGCAUACGACCUACGGGUGAAAGCAGGGGAUCUUCGGACCUUGCGCGAUUGAAUGAGCCGAUGUCGGAUUAGCUAGUUGGCGGGGUAAAGGCCCACCAAGGCGACGAUCCGUAGCUGGUCUGAGAGGAUGAGCAGCCACACUGGAACUGAGACACGGUCCAGACUCCUACGGGAGGCAGCAGUGGGGAAUAUUGGACAAUGGGCGCAAGCCUGAUCCAGCCAUACCACGUGGGUGAAGAAGGCCUUCGGGUUGUAAAGCCCUUUUGUUGGGAAAGAAAAGCAGCAGGUUAAUACCCCGCUGUUCUGACGGUACCCAAAGAAUAAGCACCGGCUAACUUCGUG
rnacentral:rRNA from 1 species